UACGUAGGCAGCAAGCGUUGUUCGGAGUUACCGGGCGUAAAGGGUGCGUAGGCGGUUGUUUAAGUUUGGUGUGAAAUCUCCCGGCUCAACUGGGAGGGUGCGCCGAAUACUGAAUGACUAGAGUGCGGGAGAGGAGAGUGGAAUUCCUGGUGUAGCGGUGAAAUGCGUAGAUAUCAGGAGGAACACCGGUGGUGUAGACGGCUCUCUGGACCGUAACUGACGCUGAGGCACGAAAGCGUGGGUAGCAAACAGG
rnacentral:rRNA from 1 species